ensembl:lncRNA
AUUCUUGUGUCAUUGUGGCAUCCAGUGUCAAUUGAAUGGGCCAGGGGCGCUGACAAAAUUCCUUUGAAGUAGGUCAUUUGAAGGACUAUCCUAUUUUUCUCCAAAGCCUGGGACAACAGACUUCCCCAUGAUCCCCUUCUCCACAGUCUGGACAACUUUCUGGCAGCAGUGGAGUCUGUGAAGAGAUACCAUGACCAAGGGAACUUAUAGAAGAAAGAGUAUAUUGUUGCUUACAGUAUCAAGGAUUCUGAGCUAUGGCUAUUAUGCUGAGGUACAUGGCAGCAGGCUGAAAAGAGAUACCAUGAGCAAGGGAACUUUUCGAAGAAAGAGUUUAUUGGGGCUUACAGUUUCAAGGAUCAUUAGUCUGAUAUCAGGGGUACAUGGCAGCAGGCUGCGAAGAGACACCAUGAGCAAGGGAACUUUUCGAAGAAAGAGUUUAUUGGGGCUUAUUGUUUCAAGGAUCAUGAGUCUGUGAUCAGUAUGCAGGGGUACAUGGCAGCAGGCUUCGAAGAGACACCAUGAGCAAGGGAACUUUUCGAAAAAAGAGUUUAUUG